CAGCCGCGGUAAUACGGAGGGUGCGAGCGUUAAUCGGAAUUACUGGGCGUAAAGCGUACGCAGGCGGUUUGUUAAGCGAGAUGUGAAAGCCCCGGGCUCAACCUGGGAACUGCAUUUCGAACUGGCAAACUAGAGUGUGAUAGAGGGUGGUAGAAUUUCAGGUGUAGCGGUGAAAUGCGUAGAGAUCUGAAGGAAUACCGAUGGCGAAGGCAGCCACCUGGGUCAACACUGACGCUCAUGUACGAAAGCGUGGGGAGCAAACGGGAUUAGAUACCCCGGUAGUCCACGCCGUAAACGAUGUCUACUAGAAGCUCGGAGCCUCGGUUCUGUUUUUCAAAGCUAACGCAUUAAGUAGACCGCCUGGGGAGUACGGCCGCAAGGUUAAAACUCAAAUGAAUUGACGGGGGCCCGCACAAGCGGUGGAGCAUGUGGUUUAAUUCGAUGCAACGCGAAGAACCUUACCUACACUUGACAUACAGAGAACUUACCAGAGAUGGUUUGGUGCCUUCGGGAACUCGGAUACAGGUGCUGCAUGGCUGUCGUCAGCUCGUGU
rnacentral:rRNA from 1 species